UAUGAAGGGGGCUAGCGUUGUUCGGAAUCACUGGGCGUAAAGGGCGCGUAGGCGGCUUUGUAAGUCGGGGGUGAAAGCCUGUGGCUCAACCACAGAAUUGCCUUCGAUACUGCAUGGCUUGAGACCGGAAGAGGUUAGUGGAACUGCGAGUGUAGAGGUGAAAUUCGUAGAUAUUCGCAAGAACACCAGUGGCGAAGGCGGCUGGCUGGUCCGGAUCUGACGCUGAGGCGCGAAAGCGUGGGGAGCAAACAGG
rnacentral:rRNA from 1 species